AGAUCUUUCCCUCGAGCCCACCUCUCCAGGUCUUGGGCCUUCGCCCUCCUGUCCGGAGAACGUGUGCUGUGGGCGGCCGUUCUCUCGGGUGCUGGAGGCUGUGGUUGGGAGGCGGGAUAGGCUUGCCGCCGCGCCUCCGGAGCCCGCUGUGCCCUCGAAUUGGCCACUGAGGAGAGAAGCCGGAAGCCCGUGCUGCAGCGUGGGGUCGUCCAGCUGGAGGGGAUACUCGGGAGGAAGAACGGCAGGCCCCAGCCCUUCUUUCCCGACAGCCACGCCGCCCACUUGGCGGCGGGGAGUCGCUCCGCAGCCGGCCCGGAGCUCGCCCGUGCAACUGAAAACUGCGUCCGUCGGGAGCUAGGGUGCCUGGCGUCCCGCGUUCCGCCCUCUUGCGCCGCCCUUACAGUGCCUCCUCCUCGAGGCCAAAUGCCCGGCCGCUCAGCGCUCGUGGCAGCCGCGUAGUUGCAGAGACACGGUCUGCUUUCCAGGCUUGGGAAGUCCCAGCACUUAACUCUGCGCGUCGGUGUCGCUCGUUUGCCAGCCAGACUAUAAAGUGCACCCAACGGUGUAUGCGUCUCUUUACUUCCGGGUGUAACGUACUACCCAGCCAGGCCCUUUCCCUUGCUGUGCUUUGGAACCUGGAAAUUACAAACCCUAAUAAAUUCUGAAGUCUGUCUGUCUGUCUAUCUCUAUUUGAGACAAGGUCUCAUCCUGUCGCCCAGGCUAGAGCGAUCGUAGCUCACUGCAGCCUCCAGCGAUCCUCCCUCCUCAUCCCAGUAGCUGGAACUACAGGCGCUUGCCAUUAAUUUCACAUUUUUUCUUUUGUAGAGACGGGGGUCUCGCUAUGUUGCCCAGGCUGGUUUCGUACUCGGCCUCAAGCAAUCCUCUCACCUCAGCAAAAUGGGAUUACAGGCAUGAGGCACCGCACCCCACUAUAUUUUGUGUUUUUUCACCUUCCCGCUAGGAAAGCAGUUUGAAACUCCCAACAUUCCUCCCUCUGAUUUUAUUUCUGAGAUGUGAGGCUUACUAAACUUACCUCACCGUUAGUUAAGAUGCUGAGUAGGUCUCUGUCUAACCUGGUAUAGUCCCCUUUCCUGACAUCCCUACCAUCUGAUGACUUCAUCACUGGAGAGUGCUCACAAUGCCGUUACUUGUUAUUCUUCCGUUUGUUCUUUCAUUUCUGCAUUAACUUUUGAGGAACUACCAUAUCCCCAUUAUUAUGCUGGGCACCUGGAUAACAAGCUACAUGCAGUCCUUAGCAUCAAUGAGCUACCAGUGUAGUAAGGAUCUAUGGACAAGUGUUUAAAAUAAGCAUAUGGAUAUGGAUACUAAAAUGGAAAUAUAUAAAACAGCCUAGAAAGCCCUUCCAGAUCUUUCUUCUGCUUACAUUUACAGGCUGUUGUCUUGGCACUCCGAAACUGCUUGAAGUUCCGCCACAAGAUAUGGGAACUCCUAAGCAACCCCC
rnacentral:lncRNA from 10 species